GACGAACGCUGGCGGCGUGCUUAACACAUGCAAGUCGAACGGAAAGGCCCUGCUUUUGUGGGGUGCUCGAGUGGCGAACGGGUGAGUAACACGUGAGUAACCUGCCCUUGACUUUGGGAUAACUUCAGGAAACUGGGGCGAAUACCGGAUAGGAGCUCCUGCUGCAUGGUGGGGGUUGGAAAGUUUCGGCGGUUGGGGAUGGACUCGCGGGUUAUCAGCUUGUUGGUGGGGUAGGGGCUUACCAAGGCUUUGACGGGUAGCCGGCCUGAGAGGGUGACCGGCCACAUUGGGACUGAGAUACGGCCCAGACGGCUACGGGAGGCAGCAGUGGGGAGUAUUGCAGAAUGGGCGGAAGCCUGAUGCAGCAACGCCGCGUGCGGGAUGACGGCCUUCGAGUUGUAAACCGCUUUCGCCUGUGACGAAGCGUGAGUGACGGUAAUGGGUAAAGAAGCACCGGCUAACUACGUG
rnacentral:rRNA from 1 species